GAAAUGAGACAUGAGCGCUAAAGUUACGUUUCUUUCUUUCUUUUUUUCCUUUUUCCUUUUUUUUUUUUUUGCUGUAGCAUAAUAUAGCUCAUUAGUUUGAUGAAAAAUUUGUACAACGUAGCCCAAAGUUGGAAUGUGAGGAUAACUCGCCAUGCUGCUUUAUGUUUGAAAGCCAAGUAGAACCUGAUUAUAACAGAGCUCAGCUCAUUAAAUGUAUGGUCAUAUGCAAGAUUCAAGAUUUGCUGAUUUUAUCUGGUCUCCAUAGCGAGUGGUAUCCAAUUAUUCCAAUUCAAUGCUCAGGACUGCCAUCAUUAAAUGAAAGAAUAUCAAAAUGAACAAAAUGAGUCUCCUUUUAAAGGCACAUAAUAUCCAUACUGUUUUUAUGCCUAUUUAUAGAAACUCACAUGUGAAUGGUUCCCUUUCCACAAAGCCCACCAGCCUGCACCACCAUAUUUCUAAAGACGCACAGAACAGACAAACUAAACACUACACACAUUUUGUAUUCAGUGGGUUGUGACUGAAAAUGCACCUGUAAGAAUAACAGUUAAUGAGAAAGUGGAUUUUGUUACCUAAGUUUAUGUUAAAUGAAGUUUUUGAUAGAAAAACUUGAGGUUUAAGAUGAUAAUUAUACAUCACAAGGACAUCUGUUCCUCAAGGCCACUAUUGCGUUACUGUUAAAAGGGGUGAGCAAGAAAGCAUUUAGAUCCAAAAUAUGACACCCAGAUAUUGUUCCGUAUUUUUACACACCUUACAUUACCUUUAAUCUCUAUUUUUUUCUCAAACGAGAAAGAAGUAAAAGAGGAUGAUUGCUGUUAAAGGAACAUAGAUUUAUUCCACUUAUGUUGAGUCUAAAGCAGAUGUGGUAUCUUGUUCCCUUUUGUGAAACUAGUCUGAGUAAGUCUGAUAAAACUUUGAUUUGAGACAGAUUUUGAAGGGUCCAGUUGUUUCUUAACGCUCUAAAAAGACCACAACUUAAAAACCCUCAGGAACAGGAGGUUUAAAGAGUUGACAGUUUUAAAGGUAUGAUAAUGAUAUGGAAAUUGAAGAAAGCUUUAAAAGAUGAUCAAGCUCAAACAAAGGCUCCUCUUUAAAUACAAAGACAUGGAACAGCACACAUUUCCCACCUAAUGAAUGCUGAUAAAGUGAAAAGGAGAUAACCAAACAGGCAUAACAAAAGGGAUCUCUCUUGCUGAGAUUUUCUCUCUGAUUCGCCAAGUGAUCCCUUCUCCUCCUCUGAUUGGUUAGGAGCACUCACCAAAGAAUGCCAACAAAAAAGUGACCCUCCAGUGAGCACCUCCAUCCCCCAUCUCUCCCUCCCUGAUCUAUGUCCCACACCCAUCCCCCCUUUCCUCCUGCCUGCUCCCCCCUUUUGCUGAAGCCCUCUCCCUCCCUCCCUCCCUCCCUCCCUCUCUCCCUCUCGCUCUCUCCCUGUUGCCUCACGGCUUGCUGUGACCCAUCUUGCACCUCCCGAAGCCCACAACAGACGCUUGGUGUGUGAAGAAGGUCAAGAGUUCAGGCUUGGCUGAGGCUCCAUCCCUCCCUCUGCACAGAGGAGGCCUGCCCUGCGGGUUUAUAAUUAUCUGCCGUUGGCAUUCAGCACAGGUUCAAGCACAGUGCAAGCGCUGGCACCAGCGUGGGGGGAUGCGCUUGGCUACACACUUGGUGAUUAGUUGUCCCUAAUUGUCAGUUCCUUGUUCCUUUUUACCUUUCUCUCCCCCUCUCUAUCUCCCCUCCCUCCUUUUGCCAGUUAGAACAUCUUUACAGGAAACACCGCACUGGCUUUAUUGUCCUAAAAGCUCACUCGGUUGCAUAAUUUUGACUUUAUUUUGUGGUAAAUAAAUGGUGGUAAAAAAAAAUCAAAUAUCUUUUCAGUAAACUUGAGAUUGCUUUAAAAAUUCCACUCUGGUUUCAGUUCUCUGCCAUCUUGUGUCUAAACGCGCAACCUUUUUUAAAAUGUCAUUUUAAUUUCUUUUUUUUCCUUUCAAUUUAAAAGAGUUGAAUAACCUUGAUUUUUAAGUCAGAAAAGAAGAGGGAUGUUUGACGUUUGACGUUUGACGUUUAAAUGCUCGCAAUGAUAAAUCUAAAUGUGUAAGUAACAAAGUCAAGGUUAUUCGUAAAAGUAAGACAGCUGCAGAGACGACAUGCUGAAGAGUCAGGCUUCCACAACCUCACUGAUGGCAGACACAAGGAGCCAUAAAAUCCUUCAAGGAGAAAAGAUGAGGAGAACUAAAGUUAAACAGCCUUCACAGAUGGUCUGUAUGAGCUGCAGUCACUGACAAGGGAAAAGCAAGUGGCCUUGAAGCUGCCGUUUUUGUGUCUAAAUGAGUUCAUGAUCCAAAAUACAGAUUCUUCACCUUGAACUUGUUGUGUUGUUUUUUUAAACAUAUAUCAGGACUACGUGUUUUAACCUGACCCUGCUAUCUUAAUUUAUUUUCACAAUUAAAACAGGUACAAAUCAUCCCUCCUAAUAUGUGGCAGACAUACUUUAUCUCCUGAUCUGCUGCAGAUUUUCUCCACAGGUUUGUGUCUGCUUCAAAGGUGAGUGUGUGCUUUCCAUCAGGCGUUCAUAUUGGCACUGACAGGCGCUGUGAUAAACGACAGUGGGUAAAUCCAUUCCUCAAUGCCUUCAGAGAUGUCUCUGCGCCAUUAGUCACUCACACUAGAGAUCUCUGUGAGAGUCCAUCAUUGCUGCUCUGAGAAACACAUCUGCAGACCUUGAGACAGAUCCUGAAAUGGGCCGACAACUGAACCAAUACUGUUGGGGGCUGUUGGGGAGAAAAAAGAAAGAGAGGAACAGCAGUCAGGCAGAUGUGGAGCCUGGACGGCUGCCAAGCAGCGCCCCGUCAUCCUGCAGCAGACCCUUCAUCUCAAUAUGAGUGAGGCAGAAAGAAAGGGAGAGAUGUGGAAUACAGCGGGGAGCAGGGGGAGGAGAAGGGGAACAUGGAUAGAUUUUUACAAAAGCCCCAUGACUAUUCCUCCAUCUGAGAACAUCCUGCAAGGCUCUUGGCAUCCUUACACCAUGACUGCACACCCACAGUUCAAUCAGCAGGGCCAGCUGAUGCUAGAAAGAGAAAAAAAAUCAAAUUGAGUUUGAAAUAAUUUAUAGUGCAAACACCUCAGUGAGUGCAGCACCUUGACUGGCCUAUUAUUCUUUGACAUUUUAGUGGAAAGUAGAACUAGUCCUUUGAGCCUUCCAUAAAAAUCUAUAUUUAACACAUGCACAGAUGGUUGGAAUAAAAGCCACAUUUGCCCCUCUUCCCCUCUGCUUUUGGUGUGAGGAAGAAGUUGAGAUUUCUGCCAGUUUCCAAGAGCUGUGUGAGAUGAGACAUG